UUGCCAACUUCUUCUCUUCAGUACAGAGGGAGGAUGGGGCCUUCCCAAGAGGCCUGAAGGACUGCCCACUCUUGGCAGCAAGUCCAGGAGUGCUCCGAAGGGACUGCUGCUUUACCCGGUGGCUGAAGGACAGGAUCUGACACACUGCCUCUCUCUACGGCUCGCGGCAUCUGCCCCAGACCUUUGCUGGCAGUCCACGAGCUUGACUCCAACACUGGCAUCUUCUCAUCAACCUGUGGUGUGACCUCAUGAGGUGAAACAGCCCGUUCUUUCUGAAAGGAAACAUGAUUUAGUGGCCUUGAAGUCAGAAAACCUGGCUUUCAAUCCAACUUCUCCAUCUACAUGCUCUAUUGUGACAAGUCAUCUCACCAAACUGGACUCUCAGUUUCCUCAUCUGCAUCAUGGGAAGGAUUCCAAAGCCUUUAUUUCCAGAAUGAGAACAUGAACCAUACCCCCUUCAACAUUAUGCAUGGGAAGACCAAGGGCUCUGACAAUUCUGGGAGAGAACAAAGAGCACUCUACAUGGAUUUUGACACCAACCUGCUGGUCGCUUG